CUGGCGGCGUGCUUAACACAUGCAAGUCGACGGAGUAUCCUCGGACGAUGAAGGGCGUGCCCGGAGAGAGUCUUGGAAUACUUAGUGGCGGACGGGUGAGUAACGCGUGGGUAACCGUGCCUCACACAGGGGGAUAACAGUUGGAAACGACUGUUAAUACCGCAUAAGCGCACAGUACCGCAUGGUACAGUGUGAAAAACUCCGGUGGUGUGAGAUGGACCCGCGUCUGAUUAGCUAGUUGGUGAGGUAACGGCCCACCAAGGCGACGAUCAGUAGCCGGCCUGAGAGGGUGUACGGCCACAUUGGGACUGAGACACGGCCCAAACUCCUACGGGAGGCAGCAGUGGGGAAUAUUGCACAAUGGGGGAAACCCUGAUGCAGCGACGCCCGCGUGAGUGAUGAAGUAUCUCGGUAUGUAAAGCUCUAUCAGCAGGGAAGAUAAUGACGGUACCUGACUAAGAAGCACCGGCUAAAUACGUGCCAGCCGCUGC
rnacentral:rRNA from 1 species